CCAGAAAAGAGAGAUUUUAACUCCCACCCCUAACUCCCAAAGCCAGAA
rnacentral:tRNA from 34 species